GACGAACGCUGGCGGCGUGCCUAAUACAUGCAAGUUGAGCGAUGAAGAUUGGUGCUUGCACCAAUUUGAAGAGCAGCGAACGGGUGAGUAACGCGUGGGGAAUCUGCCUUUGAGCGGGGGACAACAUUUGGAAACGAAUGCUAAUACCGCAUAACAACUUUAAACAUAAGUUUUAAGUUUGAAAGAUGCAAUUGCAUCACUCAAAGAUGAUCCCGCGUUGUAUUAGCUAGUUGGUGAGGUAAAGGCUCACCAAGGCGAUGAUACAUAGCCGACCUGAGAGGGUGAUCGGCCACAUUGGGACUGAGACACGGCCCAAACUCCUACGGGAGGCAGCAGUAGGGAAUCGUCGGCAAUGGACGAAAGUCUGACCGAGCAACGCCGCGUGAGUGAAGAAGGUUUUCGGAUCGUAAAACUCUGUUGGUAGGGAAGAACGUUGGUGAGAGUGGAAAGCUCAUCAAGUGACGGUAACUACCCAGAAAGGGACGGCUAACUACGUG
rnacentral:rRNA from 1 species